CAAGAAUGCAUAAAUGGAAGCCAAAAAAAAAAAUUAAGUGAGAGAAAGGUAAAGCAAUUUUUGACGACUCAAGAGGUAUGAUAAUUUUAGAUAUAUAUUUAACUAUCAAUUAUUUAAUUAUUUAAUAGUGGGAGAGAAAAGUUUUAUAUAUAUAUUUUUUAUAUUUGUAGAUUGAAGUAAUUGCAAUGUUAGUACCUACUGAAGAGGAAUUGGAUAAAGUUUGGUAUAUGACUCUAUCAUUACCAACUGAUAACCAACAUACUAUUUUAGAUGGUAUUGUUGGUAGAGAAUUUGAGAAUAGACAUCAACAAAUUCCACAAUAUAUGGAGGUGGAACAAAUUCGACAUCGUAUGGAGGAGGAAGACACAGGUUUUGCUGGUACUUCAAGAGCGUAGAUUUCAACUGGAGUUCAGGAGUCUAGUUCUUCUCUUGAUUUUAAUUAUGUAAGAAGAGAAGAAAUGGAAGAAAUGUUCAGUAUGUAUAGGCAUCAUGUAGUGUCAGAUAUGUCUGGCUUGUGUCAUAAUCUUAAGACAGAUAUAGUUGAUGAAGGAAGAAGAUAGGAAGCAGAAACUCUUCAAAAUCAGAGAGAUGUGUUUGAAAAACAUCAAAAAUGGUACGAAGAUCAACACGAGCAUUUGGGCUUCCAAUCUGGCAUGCGUUCCUAUUGUACUGUUAAAGAAACAAAAGAACAGGAUGCUCGUUAUCAAGCAUUUCUUGAUCAACAAAAAGAAAUGUUUGAAAAACAACAGAAAUGGCAUGAAGAGCAAUAUCAAGGAAUGUAUCAACAACAACAAAAAUAGCAUCAAGAUCAGUACUUGGGAAUGCAGUCUUAUAUGAACAACAAUUUUGCUUCCAUGCAGUCCUAUAUGGACAGUAAUUUUGCCUCAAUGAAGAUAUAUAUUGACGAUAAACACGAAAAUGUGAUGACUCGAUUAGAUGAUUUGGAAUCAAAAUUGGAAGGCAUUGCUUGUUCACAGCUGCAGGAUGUUCCUGGUUCU
rnacentral:lncRNA from 1 species